rnacentral:rRNA from 1 species
AACGAACGCUGGCGGCACGCCUAACACAUGCAAGCCGAACGAAGCAUAAGAGCUUGCUCUUAUGACUGAGUGGCGCACGGGUGAGUAACACGUGGGAAUCUGCCUAUUGGUGGGGAAUAACUUUUGGAAACGAAAGCUAAUACCGCAUAAGCCCUAAGGGGGAAAGAUAUAUCGCCAAUAGAUGAGCCCGCGCUAGAUUAGCUAGUUGGUGAGGUAAGAGCUCACCAAGGCUACAAUCUAUAGCUGGUCUGAGAGGAUGGUCAGCCACACUGGGACUGAGACACGGCCCAGACUCCUACGGGAGGCAGCAGUGGAGAAUAUUGGACAAUGGGGGAAACCCUGAUCCAGCGAUGCCGCGUGAGUGAAGAUGGCCUUCGGGUUGUAAAGCUCUUUCAGAGGGGAUGAUAAUGACGGUACCCUCAGAAGAAGCACCGGCUAACUUCGUGCCAGCCGCCGCUGUAA